rnacentral:misc_RNA from 1 species
CAACCAUCAAGCCCUAGGCUUGCGUUGGAGCCCUGCGGCCGCCGCAGCCUCCCAAAACCAGUGGCGGGCUCGCUAUCACACCGAGUGCAGUAGUUUACUCUUCGCUCAGGGCGUGUGGCGGGUGCUAGCCGUAAACCCCCUACUUCUUA